rnacentral:other from 1 species
AUUUUCAGACGUAGGGUACAGAGGUAAGAUGUUCUAUCUUUCAGACCUUUUACUUCACGUAAUCGGAUUUGGCUGAAUAUUAGCCGCCCCGGUCAUUUCGGUGAUCGGGGCGUUUUUUA